AGAGUGAAAAGAAAAUGUACCCUAUGGUCCUGCAGCCACCCCCUACAGCUCCACUUUCUGACUCACGGCCAGGAAAGUGCCGGCUCUGUUUUCCCAAGUCCAAGUGGAGUCCUUUGGCAUCCUGAAAAGGACCACACAUGGAUGGCCCCUACACCAUGCUGACCUCUGGGGCUGAAAUCUGUAGCUGGCCAGUGCAUCUCCAGGCCUAGGUGCCCAAGGCAAAGCAUCUACGGAAGGAGUUACGUGCUAAAACCUUCAGUUUCAAUCAAUAUGAAAGC